AGUUCUCAGAUGGUGCCUUCCUGGGUGUAACCACGCUGAAACACGUCCAUUUGGAGAACAACCGCCUGAACCAGCUGCCCUCCAACUUCCCCUUCGACAGCCUGGAGACCCUCACCCUUUCCAACAACCCCUGGAAGUGUACCUGCCAGCUCCGGGGCCUUCGGCGGUGGCUGGAAGCCAAGGCCUCCCGCCCAGAUGCCACCUGUGCCUCACCUGCCAAGUUCAAGGGCCAGCACAUCCGUGACACGGACGCUUUCCGCAGCUGCAAGUUCCCCACCAAGAGGUCCAAGAAAGCUGGCCGCCAUUAAACAGGUUCUGACCCAGCCAGUCCUGGUGACUGGCCUCUGCCUUCCACCGGAGAGACUACUGACCUUCUCACCUCCACCCCUACCUUCUUCCCACAGCCUCUGCUGAUGCACAGAGCUGCCUACACCUAGACACGUCCUGGCAGGGGGCCUCCGGCACUCCACUACCAACCCAGCUCCACCCAGCAGUGUCCUGGGGAGAAGGAAGGCUGAGCCCCUCCCCAGCCUUCAUGCCUUGCCCACCCUCCAGCUCCUCUCGGAGAAGCUGUUGCUGAGAUGCCCUCCCCACAAGUCAAUCAGAACCACAACAGGUUGGUCAUCAGGAUGGCCACCCUCGCAGGAUCAUCCUUCCUGUUCCUCUUUCCCUGCCACGUGGAAACAAUCAGCAGAUCCUUGCCCCACCCCUUGCUUCCAGAAAGGGUUUUAAAGCCCAUGCCCCAACUCUGCCAGCCCCCACCUGCCAGGACGUUCUAGCAGGACAUCGGUGCUUUGCUGCCCAUCUUCCCAUGCUGCAAUUCUUCCUGAGAUUUCUAUAAAUAUAAAUGUAUGUAUGUAUUAUA